rfam:Dipodomys ordii contig_51930, whole genome shotgun sequence.
GGGAAUGUGGCUUAGUGGUAGAGUGCUUGCCUAGCAUGCAUGAAGCCCCAAGUUCGAUUCCUCAAUACCA